UAAGUUUUUUUCAACGACUUUCAUUUUAAAUAGAGUGUUUUUGUCAAAUGCGUGACCGCUUAGUAUUCUGUUUAGUUGUUUUAUCUCCAGUCUAUGGAAUUGGUCUUUUCUCUGGAACCAUGGUUGUGAUGACACAUAAGGAUAUAGAAGGCAGUACCCUUUGUUUCGAUCUAUACAAAAUUCAUUGUACGCUCUUUCCCAUUCCAGUUUUAUUUUGGUGUACAUAUGAAUGAAAGCAUCGUUGAUUGUCCAGCUUAUGUGCGUGAACACUCCAUCGUGUCUGGCAUUUUUGGCUGCGGUAUCAGCUAAAUCGUUUUCUCUUAUGUUUGAGUGACUAGGAUUCUUUGAGCAAUGCAAUUAUUGUUCUUGAGGUUUCUAAUUGUUUGGAUUGCUCCAAGACUGUCUGUUAGGAACGCUACUUUGCAGAGGUGAUUCGAAUCAGCGAACUCCACUGCUUUUUCCAAAGCUGUGAGUUCCGCAGUUAAUGAUGACAGUUUUUUAUUGCUGAAAUAGCUUUUUGUGAUGUUGGAGCCCAAGUGAAAAAAAGCACUUCCAGUAAAAUCGUCAGAAACUGAACCAUCUGUGUAAAUCAGGUCAAAAUUCUUUGAAUUUAAGUUCUUAAUUUUUUCUUUAUACAGGGAGAGUAUCAUUGUUUCAUUUGCAUCUCUUUUGUUUUUAAAGGUACCUUUGAAAAAAUUGGCAUCUAUGAAGAUUUUUCGUGUGCGUAUAGGAGUUGGCUCUAUGGGUGUAAUGUUGUCCAGGACAUCUUUAAAUUCAGCAUACACUUUGGCAUAACUUGUUUUAUUAGCAUGAAAGACACUGGACAGAAGCGACGCCGCUAGCAGGCCAUAAGCGAAGACCUUGACCAGUUCUUUUGCUGUGGUAAAUUUAAUUCUAUACUCUGGUGGAAGUUCGGCCGCUAGGUGGUAUAUUAUAUAAGUUGGAGUUGAUCUAAUAAGCCCCAAGGCCUUCCUUAAGUGCACUGAAUUUUUUCCCCAAUAAGCGCUGAAUCACAAUCACAGCUCAGUUUUGCUCACUCACUCUUAUGGCUCAUUUUGCGUUCUUCUCAAUUGACGUUCCCAAAGUGAACGUUCUCUUUUUUGGCGCGUAUUGUUCAUUUAACUUAUAAUAAAAUGUCGUUAAUUAGAA